rnacentral:rRNA from 1 species
AUUGAACGCUGGCGGCAGGCUUAACACAUGCAAGUCGAACGGUAACAGAAGAUAGCUUGCUAUUUUGCUGACGAGUGGCGGACGGGUGAGUAAUGCUUGGGAAUACGCCUUAUGGUGGGGGACAACAGUUGGAAACGACUGCUAAUACCGCAUAAUAUCUUCGGAUCAAAGUGGGGGACCUUCGGGCCUCACGCCAUGAGAGUAGCCCAAGUGGGAUUAGCUAGUUGGUAAGGUAAUGGCUUACCAAGGCGACGAUCCCUAGCUGGUCUUAGAGGAUGACCAGCCACACUGGAACUGAGACACGGUCCAG